rnacentral:rRNA from 1 species
UACGUAGGGUGCGAGCGUUAAUCGGAAUUACUGGGCGUAAAGCGUGCGCAGGCGGUUCGUUGUGUCGGUGGUGAAAUCCCCGGGCUUAACCUGGGAAUGGCCAUGGAAACUGGCGAACUGGAGUGCGACAGAGGGGGGUGGAAUUCCGCGUGUAGCAGUGAAAUGCGUAGAGAUGCGGAGGAACACCGAUGGCGAAGGCAGCCCCCUGGGCUAGCACUGACGCUCAGGCACGAAAGCGUGGGGAGCAAACAGG